UACAGAGGUCCCAAGCGUUGUUCGGAUUCACUGGGCGUAAAGGGUGCGCAGGUGGGUUGGCAAGUUUGAUGUGAAAGCCCCGGACUUAACCCGGGAAUGGCAUUGAAUACUGCUGAUCUGGAGGAUCGGAGGGGGGACUGGAAUUCUUGGUGUAGCAGUGAAAUGCGUAGAUAUCAAGAGGAACACCAGUGGCGAAGGCGAGUCCCUGGACGAUACCUGACACUGAGGCACGAAAGCCAAGGGAGCAAACAGG
rnacentral:rRNA from 1 species